rnacentral:lncRNA from 1 species
GGCUGGGUAUUGUUUCUCCUGGAACACGAUGGAUUCCUCUGAGAAUCAUGGAAAAAAUUAGGUUUGACGAGCUCAUCUCAUUCCAACCCGAUGCCGUGGGCGACUGAUGGUGCUCGGUGUGGAAUUCCAGCUGGGUGGAAGUUUAAAUUUGGAGAAAAAUCUCCAUCUCUCUUCCUGACCCUGUGUUUCGAGAUGCUGCCAUAAUCAGUACUGCACCAGAAAUCCCA